rnacentral:rRNA from 1 species
GAUAUGAACCGUUAUAACCGGCGAUUUCCGAAUGGGGAAACCCAGUGUGUUUCGACACACUAUCAUUAACUGAAUCCAUAGGUUAAUGAGGCGAACCGGGGGAACUGAAACAUCUAAGUACCCCGAGGAAAAGAAAUCAACCGAGAUUCCCCCAGUAGCGGCGAGCGAACGGGGAGGAGCCCAGAGCCUGAAUCAGUGUGUGUGUUAGUGGAAGCGUCUGGAAAGGCGCGCGAUACAGGGUGACAGCCCCGUACACAAAAAUGCACAUAUUGUGAGCUCGAUGAGUAGGGCGGGACACGUGGUAUCCUGUCUGAAUAUGGGGGGACCAUCCUCCAAGGCUAAAUACUCCUGACUGACCGAUAGUGAACCAGUACCGUGAGGGAAAGGCGAAAAGAACCCCGGCGAGGGGAGUGAAAAAGAACCUGAAACCGUGUACGUACAAGCAGUGGGAGCCUCUUUAUGGGGUGACUGCGUACCUUUUGUAUAAUGGGUCAGCGACUUAUAUUCUGUAGCAAGGUUAACCGAAUAGGGGAGCCGAAGGGAAACCGAGUCUUAACUGGGCGUUAAGUUGCAGGGUAUAGACCCGAAACCCGGUGAUCUAGCCAUGGGCAGGUUGAAGGUUGGGUAACACUAACUGGAGGACCGAACCGACUAAUGUUGAAAAAUUAGCGGAUGACUUGUGGCUGGGGGUGAAAGGCCAAUCAAACCGGGAGAUAGCUGGUUCUCCCCGAAAGCUAUUUAGGUAGCGCCUCGUGAAUUCAUCUCCGGGGGUAGAGCACUGUUUCGGCAAGGGGGUCAUCCCGACUUACCAACCCGAUGCAAACUGCGAAUACCGGAGAAUGUUAUCACGGGAGACACACGGCGGGUGCUAACGUCCGUCGUGAAGAGGGAAACAACCCAGACCGCCAGCUAAGGUCCCAAAGUCAUGGUUAAGUGGGAAACGAUGUGGGAAGGCCCAGACAGCCAGGAUGUUGGCUUAGAAGCAGCCAUCAUUUAAAGAAAGCGUAAUAGCUCACUGGUCGAGUCGGCCUGCGCGGAAGAUGUAACGGGGCUAAACCAUGCACCGAAGCUGCGGCAGCGACACUAUGUGUUGUUGGGUAGGGGAGCGUUCUGUAAGCCUGUGAAGGUGGCCUGUGAGGGUUGCUGGAGGUAUCAGAAGUGCGAAUGCUGACAUAAGUAACGAUAAAGCGGGUGAAAAGCCCGCUCGCCGGAAGACCAAGGGUUCCUGUCCAACGUUAAUCGGGGCAGGGUGAGUCGACCCCUAAGGCGAGGCCGAAAGGCGUAGUCGAUGGGAAACAGGUUAAUAUUCCUGUACUUGGUGUUACUGCGAAGGGGGGACGGAGAAGGCUAUGUUGGCCGGGCGACGGUUGUCCCGGUUUAAGCGUGUAGGCUGGUUUUCCAGGCAAAUCCGGAAAACCAAGGCUGAGGCGUGAUGACGAGGCACUACGGUGCUGAAGCGACAAAUGCCCUGCUUCCAGGAAAAGCCUCUAAGCAUCAGGUAACAUCAAAUCGUACCCCAAACCGACACAGGUGGUCAGGUAGAGAAUACCAAGGCGCUUGAGAGAACUCGGGUGAAGGAACUAGGCAAAAUGGUGCCGUAACUUCGGGAGAAGGCACGCUGAUAUGUAGGUGAAGCGACUUGCUCGUGGAGCUGAAAUCAGUCGAAGAUACCAGCUGGCUGCAACUGUUUAUUAAAAACACAGCACUGUGCAAACACGAAAGUGGACGUAUACGGUGUGACGCCUGCCCGGUGCCGGAAGGUUAAUUGAUGGGGUUAGCGGUAACGCGAAGCUCUUGAUCGAAGCCCCGGUAAACGGCGGCCGUAACUAUAACGGUCCUAAGGUAGCGAAAUUCCUUGUCGGGUAAGUUCCGACCUGCACGAAUGGCGUAAUGAUGGCCAGGCUGUCUCCACCCGAGACUCAGUGAAAUUGAACUCGCUGUGAAGAUGCAGUGUACCCGCGGCAAGACGGAAAGACCCCGUGAACCUUUACUAUAGCUUGACACUGAACAUUGAGCCUUGAUG